rnacentral:rRNA from 1 species
CGGAGGGUGCAAGCGUUGCUCGGAAUCACUGGGCGUAAAGGGUGCGUAGGCGGUCUCGCAAGUCUGGCGUGAAAGCCCAAGGCUCAGCCUUGGAAGUGCGCUCGAAACGGCGAGGCUGGAGUGCCGGAGGGGAGAGUGGAAUUCCCGGUGUAGCGGUGAAAUGCGUAGAGAUCGGGAGGAAUACCGGUGGCGAAAGCGACUCUCUGGACGGCAACUGACGCUGAGGCACGAAAGCGUGGGGAGCAAACAGGAUUAGAUACCCUGGUAGUCCACGCCGUAAACGAUGGACACUAGGUGUCGGGGGUAUCCACUCCCUCGGUGCCGCCGCUAACGCAGUAAGUGUCCCGCCUGGGAAGUACGGUCGCAAGAUUA